GCGUUGUUAGCUCAGCCGGACAGAGCAAUUGCCUUUCUAAGCAACCGGUCACUGGUUCGAAUCCAGUACAACGCGCCA
rnacentral:tRNA from 1 species